rnacentral:rRNA from 1 species
UAGUGGCGAACGGGUGAGUAACACGUGGGCAAUCUGCCCUGCACUCUGGGACAAGCCCUGGAAACGGGGUCUAAUACCGGAUAACACUGUCCCCCUCCUGGGGGACGGUUGAAAGCUCCGGCGGUGCAGGAUGAGCCCGCGGCCCUAUCAGCUUGUUGGUGGGGUAAUGGCCUACCAAGGCGACGACGGGUAGCCGGCCUGAGAGGGCGACCGGCCACACUGGGACUGAGACACGGCCCAGACUCCUACGGGAGGCAGCAGUGGGGAAUAUUGCACAAUGGGCGAAAGCCUGAUGCAGCGACGCCGCGUGAGGGAUGACGGCCUUCGGGUUGUAAACCUCUUUCAGCAGGGAAGAAGCGAAAGUGACGGUACCUGCAGAAGAAGCGCCGGCUAACUACGUGCCAGCAGCCGCGGUAAUACGUAGGGCGCAAGCGUUGUCCGGAAUUAUUGGGCGUAAAGAGCUCGUAGGCGGUCUGUCACGUCGGGUGUGAAAGCCCGGGNCUNAACCCCGGNUCUGCAUUCGAUACGGGCAGACUAGAGUGUGGNAGGGGAGAUCGGAAUUCCU